GUUUAGGAGAAGAAAAGUGAAAAAUAGGAAAGGAGCGUUAGGUAAGAUGAUUGGAGCUUAGAGUGCGAGAGGUUCCAGUUCGUCCGCCGCACUUUUCGUUUUUUGACGAUUUGGAAGCUGACAGGCUUGACUUCACUUGGUAAAUGCUAUAGUCAAACAUCAACCAACAAGCUUCAGUGCAUGCACUUGUUAUUGACUAGGCAUAACGCAUGCACUGCAUUCUCAGCCUGUCAGGUCAGAAAAUAAUACUUGCAGUUGUGUUUCUUCCACCAAAAAACCAGGAGAAGAUGUGAAUCAAUCUUAACAAUCUGGCUGCAUUAUAGCAUUCAGAGUUAACCGCACAGAUUGCUGCUGGGCAUGCUAAGAGACACUUAGCAGUUGACUGACAUAUGUAUCUCUCUGUUAGUUUUCAAGUAUCAGUGGUCAAAACUAUAAGAUUAGUAUGUGAUCAUGUGUUUCAAUUUGAACUUUGCAUUCUACAAUGAAGUAAUAUUGUUGAAUGAACUAUAUUAUUUGAAAUUCAAUUAUAAAGGAG
rnacentral:sRNA from 1 species